UACGUAGGGUGCGAGCGUUACUCGGAAUUACUGGGCGUAAAGCGUGCGCAGGCGGUUCGUUAAGUUCGUCGUGAAAGCCCCGGGCUCAACCUGGGAAUGGCGAUGGAAACUGGCGGGCUGGAGUGCGGCAGAGGGGGGUGGAAUUCCACGUGUAGCAGUGAAAUGCGUAGAGAUGUGGAGGAACACCGAUGGCGAAGGCAGCCCCCUGGGCCGACACUGACGCUCAGGCACGAAAGCGUGGGGAGCAAACAGG
rnacentral:rRNA from 1 species